ACUCCUACGGGAGGCAGCAGUGGGGAAUAUUGCGCAAUGGGCGAAAGCCUGACGCAGCGACGCCGCGUGGGGGAUGACGGCCUUCGGGUUGUAAACCUCUUUCAGCAGGGACGAAGCGAAAGUGACGGUACCUGCAGAAGAAGCACCGGCUAACUCCGUGCCAGCAGCCGCGGUAAU
rnacentral:rRNA from 1 species